rnacentral:rRNA from 1 species
GACGAACGCUGGCGGCGUGCCUAACACAUGCAAGUCGAGCGAAGCGCCUAUGACAGAUUCCUUCGGGAUGACGACAUAGGUGACUUAGCGGCGGACGGGUGAGUAACGCGUGAGGAACCUACCUUCCACAAGGGGAUAGCCUCGGGAAACUGGGAUUAAUACCCUAUGACACUUAAGGGUCGCAUGACCUUUAGGUUAAAGCGAUUUAGCGGUGGAAGAUGGCCUCGCGUCCCAUUAGCUAGUUGGUGAGGUAACGGCUCACCAAGGCGACGAUGGGUAGCCGGCCUGAGAGGGUGACCGGCCACACUGGGACUGAGACACGGCCCAGACUCCUACGGGAGGCAGCAGUGGGGAAUAUUGCACAAUGGGCGGAAGCCUGAUGCAGCGACGCCGCGUGAGCGAUGAAGGCCUUCGGGUCGUAAAGCUCUGUCCUAUGGGACGAUAAUGACGGUACCAUAGGAGGAAGCCCCGGCUAACUACGUG